rnacentral:piRNA from 1 species
GGUGGAUUAUCUGAACGAGUUAAGA